rnacentral:rRNA from 1 species
AUUGAACGCUGGCGGCAUGCUUUACACAUGCAAGUCGGACGAGUGGCGAACGGGUGAGUAACGCAUCGGAACGUACCGAGUAAUGGGGGAUAACUGUCCGAAAGGGUAGCUAAUACCGCAUCUCAUUCGAUCGGCCGAUGUCUGAUUAGCUGGUUGGCGGGGUAAAGGCCCACCAAGGCGACGAUCAGUAGCGGGUCUGAGAGGAUGACCCGCCACACUGGGACUGAGACACGGCCCAGACUCCUACGGGAGGCAGCAGUGGGGAAUAUUGGACAAGGGGCGCAAGCCUGAUGCAGCCAUGCCGCGUGUCUGAAGAAGGCCUUCGGGUUGUAAAGGACUUUUGUCAGGGAGGCGGUACCUGAAGAAGAAGCACCGGCUAACUACGUGCCAGCAGCCGCGGUAAUUC